ACCUGGAUGGCUCAGUGGGUAGAGCUUCCAACUUUUGAUUUUGGGAUUGUGAGUUUGAGCCUCAUGUUAGGUG
rnacentral:tRNA from 1 species